rnacentral:rRNA from 1 species
UACGUAGGGUGCGAGCGUUGUCCGGAAUUAUUGGGCGUAAAGGGCUCGUAGGCGGUUUGUCGCGUCGGGAGUGAAAACUCAGGGCUUAACCCUGAGCCUGCUUCCGAUACGGGCAGACUAGAGGUAUGCAGGGGAGAACGGAAUUCCUGGUGUAGCGGUGAAAUGCGCAGAUAUCAGGAGGAACACCGGUGGCGAAGGCGGUAGUCUGGGCCGGUACUGACGCUGAGGAGCGAAAGCGUGGGGAGCGAACAGG